AAAUCGCGAUUUUGUUCUAGCACACGAUGGGAGCACACUUACCAACUAAUUAAGAUAGAUUUAUUUGAAUACACAUACACAUUGUCAACUAUUACUAUAUAAAUAUAAAAUCCCCCACAAAAAAAGUAAUUUAGCAUCAGUUUAUAAGCUAAUGUUAGCGAAUUGCCGCUAAGGAUUGAGAAGGCCUUGUGCCACAUGGCAAAUUCUUCAACCAGAACUGGACGAAGUGCACGAGAAAUGAAGGUAAUACAUUUAUUGUUUCUUUAAUUACAACUAAAGAUAGUUAUUCUCUAAGCUGUUAUUACAUCUCAGUGUUCUUGACCAACAAUGUUACUUGGCACUAAAUCGUUUUUUCUGGAAUUAUGUUUUUUAAAUGUAUGAUAUUGGUUGUUCAGUGCAGACAAUAUUAAUUGUAGAGCUGACAGUGUUAUAAUUUUAUAACAAUAUUUAUCUUUGAAGAUGUUAAGGUGUUAAGAUUUCUGACAGCACCCUAUUCUGAUGGUAUCUCACUAGCUUAAUAAGCUAAUGAGAUAGCCUACUACAGCAUUAGUAAGAACAUAAGUGAGAUAUGACUAAAGGCAGACUAAUACCAUUUGAUAAAUCCUAAUUUGAUUCCAAUCAAAUAUUGGUAUUUUCUGCAUUUGUCUCGCUGACUUUUUUUCAUCUUCCAAUUUAGAUUGUUUGCUAGUUGAGGAGCACAUGGGCAAUUGAAGAGCAUGUCAAAAAGGAGAGCCAGACUUAGUCCUGAGGCUGAGGCUAUUCAUUUUAUUUCUUCUGGAAGUGACAAGCCUUGUUAUAAGGUCAAAUGGAUCAAUGACUAUAAAGGACGUGGUGUAUUUGCCUGUGCACCAAUUGAAAAGGGAUCCUUUGUCCUCGAGUACCGUGGGGAGUUAAUAUCUGAAUAUGAACGGGACAAGAGGCAGGGGGAGUAUACGGAAAAGCAAAAUGCUUUUUUGUUUGAUUUUGAAUGGAACAAUGGCUCAUGGUGCUUAGAUGCGUCAUGCGAAGACGGUUCACUAGGGCGACUGGUGAAUGAUGCCAACAGGUCCCCAAAUUGCAAAAUGAGAAAGAUGACAGUCCGAUGUAAACCUCAUCUUUGCCUGUUUGCUAUUGAAAACAUCCAAGCAGAGAGUGAAAUCACCUAUGAUUAUGGAGAAUCUCUGUGGCCAUGGCGUG